rnacentral:rRNA from 1 species
UUGGAGGGCAAGUCUGGUGCCAGCAGCCGCGGUAAUUCCAGCUCCAAUAGCGUAUAUUAAAGUUGCUGCAGUUAAAAAGCUCGUAGUUGAAUUUCGGGACCAUCAUGUCGGUCGUGCCUCGGUACGUACUGGUAUUGUUGGUUUCUCCCUUCUGACGAACCAUGGUGUCAUUUAUUUGGUGUUGUGGGGAAUCAGGACUGUUACUUUGAAAAAAUUAGAGUGUUUAAAGCAGGCUCACGCUUGAAUACAUUAGCAUGGAAUAAUGAAAUAGGACGUUUGAUUCUAUUUUGUUGGUUUCUAGGAUCGACGUAAUGAUUAAUAGGGAUAGUUGGGGGCAUUAGUAUUCAAUUGUCAGAGGUGAAAUUCUUGGAUUUAUUGAAGACUAACUACUGCGAAAGCAUUUGCCAAGGAUGUUUUCAUUAAUCAAGAACGAAAGUUAGGGGAUCGAAGACGAUCAGAUACCGUCGUAGUCUUAACCAUAAACUAUGCCGACUAGGGAUCGGAUGAUGUUAAUUUUUUAAUGACUCAUUCGGCGCCUUACGGGAAAC